GUAAGUGUGACGCAAAAUGAUGUGUCUGUUCAUAUGAAGUUAAAUGCCUUAGUUAAGGGUUGAGCCUGCAACCGAUGACUGAUUACUGAUUUCUUGCUAUCAGAGGAUAGGAAACAGAAUCAUUAUCCAUCCUGUGCGGUGGAGCUAUGAAUACUUGAGUCGUCAAUACAUGCGCUGUAGUCAGUGCAUUUGCAUAUGACGUGUAAUUAUGCAGUUAUAGCAGUCUAAUACAGCCGGGAUGUGCAGACAGUAUGUUUCACACAGACUCCUUAUACGAUUGCUUUUUUUAAAAUAGAUAAAUAAUAAUAAUAAUAAUAAUAAUAAUAAUAAUAAUAAUAAUAAUAAUAAUGAUAAUAAUAAUAAUACAUUUCUAGCAGUUACUUCAAUGAAUCUUGCGUAGGCUAUAUAGGCCUCAUAUAUAGAGUAUAACUCAUAUGGUGUUACGUGAUCAUGCAAAAUGAUGCAAAUUGUUACUAAACGCGUGUUGUUCUUUUGUUCGGCCGUCUUUGUUAGUACACGUAUUUGUGCAUGUAGUGCAUGGGUUUGAAUAGUGUAACUCUAAUGAAUUUUUAUAAUAGAUGUUGGCGAAUCCGAGACUUUAUGAAAUCGCAUUUCUAAUGCAUAGAAUAUAAAGCAAAACAAAGAAGAAGAAGAAAAAAAGAGCAUUCUGAACCUACCGCUCGCCUAACAUGCUGCUGUUUUAAACAAAAAGGGAAAUGAAGAAAACAACACAGCCACAGCCACUGUGAAUGCAAAAGAGAUGCAAAUAUACCUUUUACAUAUGCAUCAAUAUUUAAAAUAACACACAUGUUGGAAGCGUCUGCAGCGAUGAACCGAGCGGUGUCUCAGUGCGCGCGGGCGCCAGUCUUCGCUCCUUCAGCGCGCGCUCCGGAUCCUCACCAUGCAGAUGCUCGCCAUAUUCAAAACAAUAAACAAACACACAUACAUACACACACACACGCACACACCAAAAAACACACACAAUACGCGCCUAUUCUCUUCAAAUGGAAAACGAGCCUCUUCGGAUCCGACGAGGGUAAAAUUUACUCCGAGCGCUGAUAGAAAGGCGACGUAAGGGGAUUUGCAUAUUUGAUGCGCUAAUUUCCUUGAUGUAUUUAAAUAUGGCUGCGCGUAGCAGAGCGGCUUGUCUACGUCACUGGACGUGACCUCGUUGUUAAAUCUAAACGCGAAUCCGCUUGCAAUCAUGGAGAAUUAGAAAGAGGGACAGAAUUACGCGUUGUAACGUCAUUACUAAUUUUCUAAUACAAAAAUAGCUUAUUUAAAAAAAAAAUUAAAUAAAAAACAGUUGAACUUGAACUUGACAUUCAAUACGCUUGCGUAUGUGAUGAGAAAAAAUACAGGUAACAUAAUAAUAAUAAUAAUAAUAAUAAUAAUAAUAAUAAUAAUAAUAAUGUGGGAUGGUCUAAUAAUAGGCUUAUUAAAAGGUUAUGCAUUACACAGUCCGCACUUUUAUUGAAGGAAUGUUCACUUAUUAGUGCCAAGGCCUCUCGCGUGCUUUCUUUUUUAAUGAAUAAAUGAAUGAACAUAGUAUGUGCUUGGUGUCUUAUGACUAAACUUAGACUUCUUGCUCUUUUUUUUUUUUUUUUUUAAAGCGAUGCUUUCUCUUGACAGUAUGUGUUUUUUUUCUCCCUGCUCUAAUAAUGUCCUCGCUGUGUAUAAAGACGGCGAGCGCGUUCCGUCAGUCCGCUCGUGUGGGGCAGAAAAAAAAAGCUCGAGGCAAAUUCAUUAGCGCAGUCAGUGCGUAACCUGCUCUGGGAAACUGGGGGGCUACAGUCCACGCCAAUAAGGGGAACAAUGGCUCCUCAGUUCAAAUCCAACAAAAGACCUGGCCAACUUGUUUGAAUUUCCGAGCACGUCCUUUCUUUCUAUCACAGAGAAGGAGAGGUGCCCCCCUCUUCUGCUGACCCCCUCCCAACACCCCCCAUCUACCCCCACCCUAACACUAAAAAAAAUAAAAUAUAUAUUUUUUAAAUCAUUCCAUGCCAACCCUUCUCCGCUCAACACUGCACUUUUUCCCAUUUGGUGCCGUAGACAAAUAGGUUAUGGGAAACUUCUCGACCCCUCCUCUCUGACCCCCCCCCCCCCCCGUACACCCCCCCAUCUCGCGCUGUCUCUCAGUCUCUCACACACUCUCGCGCUGUCUCUAGCGCGCGUGGACUUACCGGAGCAGGGAAGCACGCGUAAUGAGCUAAGUGUUAGCGGCAAUUUUGAACCACACGCGCACAGGAUGGACUCGUUAGUGAGACGGCGUUUUGCGCACCGGCAACGGAUACUGAAUGUUUGGAAAGACGCUUGGACAGAAAGAGCCGGGAAAUAUGACCAUAACUGUCCGGCGGAAGCGAGUGAGGCGAAAUGGAGCUGUCUAAAAUAAAAUCCAGCAAUAAAAUCCAGCAUAAGGUGAGCUUAGAAUAAAAUAUGAAACGAGAAAACAGACUUAACAUCUUUGUCUGUGGUGAGUAGUCCUUGGCAGGUGGACUCAUAACGUUUGUUUGUCUGUGCUUUUAUGGAGGUUCCCCCCCGUUUCUUCUUUUCAAGUGAGUUUGCAUGUUUGUGCAUAUGCACUAGCAGCCUGCAGCUAGAAAUGAAAACAGUAUGGUCUAUUUUAUCAUUUCUCGGUGGUCAGCGGAAUUAGCAUAUUGAGCCAGAACAUUCGGUUAACACAGUAAAUAUUACGCGCAGCCAGUCUGGAGCUUUAUAAGAAGAGAGCUACAGCAUCCCUAAGGGCUUUUAUCCUUCCUUUACAUUAAUGCACUACAUACAAAUGAAACUGAGUGACAGAAAUCUCUAAUAUUCACAAAAGACCAUUUGAUUCAAAACUAAAUAAACUGCUCUAGUAUGAAAAAUCUUGAUUGAUCAAGCUAGAAAAUCUAGAAAAUCUAGAAAUUGAAUAAGUGUAUGUGUUAAUUUAGAAUGAAAUUGUGAGCUCUCUUGAAAUGUAAUAUCACAUUAUUCCCCAACAUAAUAAUAACAAUAAUAAUAAUAAUAAUAAUAUAUAUAAAAAAAAACAAACAUUAUGCCUACUAAUGAAGGUUUUUUUUCUUUACUAUAGAAUCCAAAGACUUGUAUAGAUUGAAUGUCUGGAAUAUAAUAAACUAUUUGUAUAAAUGGCUAUAAGUGUAAUCAGUGAAACAUUACAUUUAGCUUUAAGGAGCUUACAGUUAAGCUGGGGAAAAAAAACAACCAUCCCUGUAGACAAGCAAUACUCGAUGUUAAUUACUGUUGCUGCCGGUUGGAUAUGUGCUUUUAAAGCCAAUUAAAAACAGGAUGACGAGUUCAGUCAAGCUUUGAAAAUUACACGUCCUCCUGCCUGCAAUCUGGAGGCUCAGUAAUGAUUUCUGAUCAACGGUCAGGUCUCGUUUAACUAGACGAUAUAAAACAUAACACUGUCCUUAUGAGUGUCUGGUGAACUAGAGUGUAUUUAGGAAUUGCAACAGCACUUGUUCGCUGCAAAAAAGGUUUAUCAUAGCUAUUCAUUACAUAAUUCAGUGUAAGAGUUCUUUAUUUAUGUAUUCGUCCAUGCUCUUUUAUAUAUCACCAGUCUGCGAAUUAGUUCAUUAACUGAAUUUGCUGUUCACACUAAUAAGUUCAAAUCUGUCCUGUUUGGAAACUGACGCAUCCUGCUUCCUGAUUCGGUUUCUCUAAUGUUAGCAUGCAUGCUAUUCCUGUGCAGCUCCUAUCAUUCAGUUUUAUGUGUAACACACAGCUCUUCCCUGCAUAUGCAUCACUAGGAUGUGAUUAGCAUUCGCUCAGAUGAGCUAAUAAGCUUGCACGAUUACAAUUAACCAUACAUGCAAAAAUGAGCUCAUGCAGACAACAUGCCGUGCUUAUUGAAUAUUCCAGCUCUGUUUGAUUCAUCAAACAUUUACAAAUAGUUACAUAUAUAUGUAAAUAGUACCGUAUAAUUUUAAUGGGAUGAAUACACCAGUAUGUAAAGUGUAUCUAUGCGUCAUGUCGCAUCGCUUAGAAAUGAUCCCAGUUUUAUCGAUCAUAUUCGGUAAAUAAUUGCGCCCGGCAUUAGUCCUGCCCAGCGCUGUCUUACACACCCCAUGACAUUCACACAUAGCACACAUUUCCCCUCCCUCCCUGUUCGAGAACCUUCUUCAAAAGAAACGUAUUGCACUAAUCAGCUUUUGAUCCUUAUUCAUGUUCCAAUUUUUCCCUCCUUCCGGAAAAAAAGUGAUCUAGUCGAGAUCUAUAAUUAAAGAUGAUAGAGCAACAUUGCAUUCGUUAAAUAUCCAAGUAGCGAACGGGAUGUAACAGUGCUGUACUGCACGAGUUUAACCCACAUCAUUAUUUUAUGCCGAGAACAAAGGCUAAGCGCAUAACAAAAAAAAAAAAAAAAAACGAUGCAAAUGUAUGCAAAUCGCUGGAAGCAAGAGGAAGGAGUGGAUAAGACAGGCUAGAGAAGACGCACAGCAAAAAUAAAAAAAAAAAAAAGGUGGUGGUGGUGUGUGUGUGUGAGGGGGGGUGUUUACCUUCGCAAAGCAGCCAUUUUGAGGUGAUUGCGUUUUUAAAUAUUUCUCCACGAUUACACAGGAGACGAAGUUUAAAGGCUCUAACGGGUCAUGUUAAUUUCACCUGUUUUGCAUCAGGCCCUCUGAUUUGAUAUUACGUGAGCCGUUUUUAUACUACAACCCCACGGUUCACUGAAAUUGUCUCUUUUAAGACAACACAAAGCCAUGAAAAUCGAACUUUGCCUCAUUUCAGGCCACCACUUUCUCCAUUUUCUCUUUUCACUCAUAGUUUUCAGUUUAGUUUUUGUAGUAAUGAUAAAAAAUAUUGUUUAAUGAUAAACCACUUUUUACACCAUGCAGUUUAUAAAAACUAAAAAACUAAAAAAUAAAAAAAUUUGCUAGAUUUUUUAAAUCUGGACUGAAUUCAGUGUGUGGUCAGCAAUUUCUUUUCAUUGUUUUUAACGAUAAUCCUUAAAAUUGUUUAUGAUGCAAGCGUGGGUUUGCGUUUGAUUCGCAUGGGAUUUUUUUAAUAAAUGAACAAUUAAACCGUAAUCUAUUUCUGUAUUUCUAAUCUGAGGCUAUUUCUAUAUCCUCCUUCAAGUCUUUAGACAAAUGACUUUUCACAAUCCACCAAAAGCUUCAUAGAUCAAUAAGAAGCUUCAUAGAUCUUACAGAUCCCUCCUACCAAUAUGAAAAUGAUGUUACUUAAUAACGAUAAAGGUUUGACUAAUAGGUUAGUAGGCUACAUAUCAGUCAUCUCUUACGGAGCGAUUAACGAUGGCGUUGAUGCUAUUCAGGUGUUUGUGUUCAUCUUUUCAAGACUUCAUGGAAAUCAGCGAGUUGUACGCAGCAGCACAUGAAAGCCGAUUAAAAUAAUGCCCUCCCGCAGACAAUGCCACAUUUGUGAUUUGUGUGACACACACACACACACACACACACACACACACACACACACACACACACACACACACACACACGUCUGGGCCUCUCCUCAGACCUCAGACACAAUAUAGUGUGAGAGGGGGCUGGGGUGUGAAAGCAUAGACAGACACUUACAAUAAUGCAUAAUGAUGUUAACAUUCCUGCAUGUCUAAUAGAGCAGCAUCCAACCACAGACUGUGUGUGUGUGUAGGUGUGUGUGUGUUUGUAUGAGUGUGUGUAUUUUCUAUUUCUGCCACAUAAGCUCCAGAUCACUUUAUUAUUAUGUCGUAAUAUCCGGACAGCGAACAGUUAACAACAUGAGUAUGAGUGUGUGAAUGUGUGUUAACGCAUAUCUUCAAGUUUAUAGUUUACAUAUAAGUGUUACGUAUACGUGGGGCAUUUAUCCUCAAUUUGACCCAUACGUGCUUAUGUUCUACAUAUUUCCCCUCUUCCCUACUAUUAAUAUGCAUGCUGGAUGAAGUCUAAUGUAAGGAUUGGACUUGGUUUCAAAUAUAUUAAUUAACGAAUACGUUACAGCCGUUCUCCACUCAGCUGGAGCUUCAAAUAAAUAACGUUUCCGUGAAUGUUGCUUGCACCGCUUUAAACAAUAGUACACGUUUGCUUCAAAGCUGUGAAUGAUUGGUAUUUUUAUUCAAUUUGCCAGUUCUGUGUGUAUAUAAAUGUGUGUGUGUAUGUGUGUACGUGUGUGUGUGUGUGUGUGUGUGUGUGUGUGUGUGUGUGUGUGUGUGAAAUUGUUGUUGUGUCCUGACCUUUUUUUCUUUGUUUUUUUUUUCUUUGUUCCAAUAACUCAUUUUUGUGACACUCUUACUGUCUAAAAUGGGAUUUUGAUUUCCAUAUUGAAGGGCCAUGAGAUGCCAAACCAUUUCCAAGCAGAAAAAAUAAAUGUAGCUUGCAAAACACCAUUUAACAUCGAAAGCUUUUUUAAAAGUUAAAAAAAACAAAAACAAAAAAAACAACAACAACAAAAAAAGGUUUUCUUGAGAGACGUCUCUCCUUGUUCUGCUCAACUCUGGUGUUGUGUUCUCAUAUCUCAUAUGCCUAUCACUGUAGUGUGUGCUUGUGUGUGUGUGUGUGUGUGUGUGUGUGUGUGUGUGUGUGUGUGUGUUUGGGAGCAUCAGAAAGGAUAUGAAUAUGUAGUAAAGGUGUGUGUGUGAGAGAGAGAGAGAGAGUGAGAGAGAGAGGCGAGAGUAUACACAAACAUAUUCUCAUGGAACCGUAAAACAUUAUAAUGCGGAGGAAAAGGAUAAUGUAUUUGUCACUCUUGUUUAUGCUGAUCUAUGCAUCUGCCCUACAAAUGUCACAUCCCAUAAGCCCAAAAAAAUUACACCAGCCCCACCUAAUUAAGCAUAUUCAUGAAGCUGCUUUGCAUACUGCACUAGCCGAUUGGGCAGCGCCAGGGAGAGACGUGAUCGUGUGGGGAGUGAAAAUUCACACAUGCAAAUCUGCACCGCUAUGGACUUGUCCAUAAUGUGAUGUGGAAAUGUAUGUGAAAGCAACGCUGCUAUUCUAGAAUUACUCACAACUGGAUCUGCAUCAUAUACGAAUAACAGCAAAUCCUGACUUGUAAUGUACAGACAGGUGACAAAUUAAAGGAAAAACAACAACAACAACAACAACAACAAAAAGUGUUGGGUUUUUAGUGUCAAUUAAUUUUUUCCAAU
ensembl:lncRNA